UUACUGUUUUAGCUCUAGCAAGACCAAUCACCUGACUGAUGCAGUUUUACUGAUCAUUUUAAUGAAAUGGAUAAACAGGUGAUAUAAAUUUCCUAUGGCGAGGAGCUGAAAGAAAUGCUGUAGGUUUUUUGCUAUGUGGGGGCUCAGAUUUUUGUUCAUUUCCCAGCUUCCCCACUUCUCCACAGACCUUCUCUAUGAAUUUCUUUUUUUUUUUUUUUAAGCUUUUGACUGUCAUCAUCUGGAGAAACUUCCUUGCUUGCUGCAUUGUUGAAAGUUUUUUAUAAUCCCACAGAGACCUGAGGGAGUUUCUCUUGUGUCAGUGUGAGUGUCUUUCUCUGAGCAUUUUGUGCUGACAGACCUCACUAGGAAGUGAAAUGGGAGACUGGGCACAGGCUGGACUUUAUGGCCAGGAAGUCAUGAGGACACAGAAGGACUGAGAAACUAACCUGGGAUUGCACUUGAAUUCAGAGGAAGGGCUUUGGGUGGAGUAAGGGAGGGGAUGGAAGAGAGCAUAGCAAAGUGAGCACAUUUUCAGUGGGUCUUUAAGACCAAGAGAAAUACUGUGAAUUGAGUUUAGGAUUCAGUUAUUUCAUGAGCAACCUGCUGUAGACUUUUGUCUACAUUAGCAGAUGUCUACAUAGAUGAUUUUUAUGGAAAUAUGUUUUAGAAAGAAAGGACUUUAAGAUUAUUUUUUUUUUAGCUGAUACAGUUGGAGGUGGAGCUCCUUGAGCACUGUUUUACCAACUUCCUAACCUUUAGCUAAGAUAAGUUAAUUUUUAAAAAAAUUGAACCUUCAUUAUAUUUGAGUGAUAGGGGAGUAUUAUAAUGUUGUCCUCAUGGGAAAGAGGAAAUAUGCUUAUGUUUGGCCAGAAAAAUGUUAUGAAUUCAUUAUAAAACCCAGAAGGUUGAGUUGACAUAGAUGAGCUCCCUGGAAGGCACAGCGAUGGUGGAUGAAACGAGGAUGCAGCGGGAGCACAGCCUGUAGAUCUUCCUGAUACCUGUGGGAGUUGCAUGCACAGCCAGAUGUAAUAGUCUCUGCAGGUGAAAAUUCUGAAAAUACAUGGUGUGUACAAGCAUGGCUUCAGGUCUCGGAAGAGCAUGUUUAUCCUCAGAAUUAGCACUCUAACAGUUUUGGAGGAACCACUGCAAAGGGAGCUGAAUUACUUGCCAAACCCUAACUCUGCAAAUUAGUGACAAAGCUGAAAAUGGAGCCUGGGUGUCAGUGUUGUUUAAAUAUAUAUUACAUUUGGCACAUAGACUUCAACUAAAUUUUGUGUCUUUGAAGUAAAACUGAGUAUAAUGAAAUGGAUAGUUUAAUUUUACCUGGAAAACUUUGGGUGCGCUGACAAGAGAUGCUAGAGCUGAUGACAGAGUAGCUGAAAAGAUGCCAGCUGUGAUGAGAGGACCAAAGCCAGACACCAUGCUCAUCACCUUUAUGAAAAAAAGAAGAUAAAAAGAAUAGUCAGUCAUCACCUUUAUGAAAAAAAAA